UUCCAUCUUCCUAAAUAUCUUUAGGGUUUUUUACAUUGCAGCCGCCUGUUCUUCUCCGUGUUCAAUCUUCAUCUCAAUGGUACACACUCAAAACCCUAGCGCCUCCCUCACUUUUUCUGCAGAUCCAUAUGUUGGAAUGGAAGAGUUUCACAAUUACGAAACCCUAGCCCUCAUCAUCUUCCCUGUUUUGAUUCAAGAAGCUAGGGUUUGUGGUUUUGGUAAGUUUUUUCGAUCUAUAAUCUAAUCCAUGUCUGAUUGUUAUCAGUUUGAUUAUAGUUACGAUUCACAGUGUUUUAGUCUUUUUAUUGUUUCACAAAGAUCUCAUCUACAUUCUCCACCAUUGGCUUCAUUCUAUCUUAAAUGAUUUAAUAACCCGUUUCAAGUUAAAAACCCUAACUAAGAGCAUUUCAUCUUCAGAUCUGCUGUUGCUUUGGUUAAUCUAAUCUUGGGAAACCCGUUUCUGAAUCUCAUUUCAUUCAGAUAUGUGGAGAGCAUAAAGAAUCUGGAAUCCAUAGGCAUGGCUUUCUUGCAUCGUGUUUACAUGAGGCAGAUUCUGUUACGAAUAGAUCAUUGGAACGCAAUGGGAAAUCAUAAGCCCCGAAAACUGUUCGGCUUUGUUCUUUUUAAGGACAAAUUGACAUAAUUUCAGGGAUAAGUUGAGAUGAAAGCAGUGAAAGAUGGGUCAGCCAACUAUGCAGCUUUAAAGAAGAAAGCAGAGCUGUAUGAAAAGCUGGCAAGAGGAGAAGUAUGUGAUGAGGAAGAUAAGGAGAAAUAUUGUAUUUAUUUUUUUCAGUAAGACCUAUGUAAAUGACGAACCACAAAGACAGCCCGUUUUCUAUAGAAACAAACAAAUACGAGCCUGAUACAUAUGAUGAACCUGUGUUGCCUGAUACACGGGCUACGGGCCUCGGUAGGGCAGCUGGUAUAUUAGACAAUGAUGAACAUAAGCGUUUUGUGAGGGAAAUGCAUGAAGAAGUGAGGAUGUGCUUGAGAAAGGUUACAUUAUAAAGAUAACAAUUGUGUCACUUUAAAAGGAUGAUGUUAGGCUAAUUUAGUCCCAAUUCAUUUUUGGUGUUAUUAUUUUAUUUCAUGUGUUUGACCAGUUAUAAUAAUAAUAAUGAAUACAAGUUGACCCA